UUGAAUAACGGGGUUGCUGUUCUGGCUCUUCGGAGCACUGUGAACGCAGCUUCAAAUUCAUCUUUAACCAUUGUGAACCUUUGUAGACUACAACGACUCUCAACGUUGUCUUUCGGGACUUCGUUGGAUCGAAGGAUUUGCGCCUUAGCUAUCCUUCAAUGUUGUAGUCUAUGUUAUAUCUCUACAAACAAGUCAUAGAAUGUCUUUUGUGGGUCGCAAGACCUAUAAAAAUUAUA
rnacentral:misc_RNA from 1 species